rnacentral:rRNA from 1 species
AUUGAACGCUGGCGGCAGGCCUAACACAUGCAAGUCGAGCGGAUGACGGGAGCUUGCUCCUGGAUUCAACGGCGGACGGGUGCGUAAUGCCUAGGAAUCUGCCUGGUAGUGGGGGAUAACGUCCGGCAACGGGCGCUAAUACCGCAUACGUCCUGCGGGCGAAAGUGGGGGAUCUUCGGACCUCACGCUAUCCGAUGAGCCUAGGUCGGAUUAGCUAGUUGGUGGGGUAAAGGCCUACCAAGGCGACGAUCCGUAACUGGUCUGAGAGGAUGAUCAGUCACACGGGAACUGGGAAAGGGUCCAGACUCCUACGGGAGGCAGCAGGGGGGAAUAUUGGACAAGGGGCGAAAGCCUGAUCCAGCAAGGCCGGGUGGGUGAAGAAGGUCUUCGGAUGGUAAAGCACUUUAAGUUGGGAGGAAGGGCAGUAAGUUAAUACCGUGCUGUUUUGACGGUACCAACAGAAUAAGCACCGGCUAACUUCGUG